UCUAAUCGGAAAUUGAAUACGCUUAAAUU
rnacentral:piRNA from 1 species